rnacentral:rRNA from 1 species
CGGAGGAAAAGAAACUAACAAGGAUUCCCCUAGUAACGGCGAGUGAAGAGGGAAGAGCCCAAGAUUGAAAGCUGGCGCCUUCGGCGUCCGCAUUGUAAUCUCAAGAAGUGUUUUCCGCUUCGGACCAUGCCUAAGUCCCUUGGAAAAGGGCAUCACAGAGGGUGAUAAUCCCGUACAUGGCAUGGAGCGCCCGAAGCUUUGUGAUACGCUUUCUAAGAGUCGAGUUGUUUGGGAAUGCAGCUCAAAAUGGGUGGUAAAUGCCAUCUAAGGCUAAAUAUUGGGGAGAGACCGAUAGCGAACAAGUACAGUGAUGGAAAGAUGAAAAGAACUUUGAAAAGAGAGUUAAACAGUACGUGAAAUUGCCAAAAGGGAAGGGUAGGAGGUCAGAGAUGCGUCGCAGGAUUCAGCCUUGCUUUUGCUUGGUGUUUUUCCUGCGUUGCAGGCCAACGUCGGUUUUGGGCACUGGAGAAGGGUAGGAGGAACGUGGCACCUCUCGGGGUGUGUUAUAGCCUCCUACUGGAUACAGCGACCGAGACCGAGGAACGCAGC